rnacentral:rRNA from 1 species
AGCGGCGAACGGGUGAGUAACACGUGGGCAACCUUUCCUAUCGCGGGGGAUAACAGCGGGAAACCGCUGCUAAUACCGCAUGUCGUCACCGGCCGCAUGGCCGGUGAAAAAAGCAGCAAUGCACGAUGGGGUGGGCCCGCGGCCUAUCAGCUAGUCGGUGGGGUCACGGCCUACCGAGGCGAUGACGGGUAGCUGGUCUGAGAGGACGACCAGCCACACGGGGACUGAGACACGGCCCCGACUCCUACGGGAGGCAGCAGUGAGGAAUCUUCCGCAAUGGGCGAAAGCCUGACGGAGCGACGCCGCGUGUGGGAUGAAGUCCUUCGGGAUGUAAACCACUGUUGGUGGGGAAGACAAAUGACGGUACCCACCGAGAAAGCCCCGGCUAACUACGUGCCAGCAGCCGCGGUAAUACGUAGGGGGCUAGCGUUAUCCAGAAUUACUGGGCGUAAAGCGCGUGUAGGCGGCUGGUUAAGUGUGAUGUGAAAUCUUCGGGCUCAACCCGAAAACUGCAUUGCAAACUGGCCUGGCUAGAGUGCAGGAGAGGGAAGCGGAAUUCCAGGUGUAGCGGUGAAAUGCGUAGAUAUCUGGAGGAACACCAGUGGCGAAGGCGGCUUCCUGGCCUGUAACUGACGCUGAGACGCGAAAGCGUGGGGAGCGAACCGGAUUAGAUACCCGGGUAGUCCACGCCCUAAACGUUGCGAACUAGGUGUUGGUCGGAUUGACCCGAUCAGUGCCGCAGCCAACGCAUUAAGUUCGCCGCCUGGGGACUACGGCCGCAAGGUUAAAACUCAAAGGAAUAGACGGGGGCCCGCACAAGCAGCGGAGCGUGUGGUUUAAUUCGA